GAUCCAAAAAAAAAAGAAGAAGGUUUCCUUAUUCUUUAUUUUCUUCAUGUUCCUCUUAGAUUAGUCAAAGUAUGAUGUCUUCAUGAGCUAGCACUCUCGGAGAGAUCGAUCAGUACAUGGGCUUUGUUUGGAUACUUGUAGAGGUCGGACACGUGUGCGGCUGUUGAGCAUCAUAAAGAACCAACUACUAUGAAUUUUAGAUGUGGUGAUCUGCUCCCCAGACUCAGGUAUGAAGUUUUAAAAUUAAUUUAUAUUUAUAUAUGAUCUAAUGAUAAUUUAGAUAUGAUCUAAUUACUUAUAGAUAUGAUCUAUACUUGCUGAAUUUUAAAUUUCAGAUUUACAUUCAUGAUAUUAGUUCACGUCAUGGUUCCUGUAUGAUAGUUUUAGAUUUGAUCUAUGCAUACAUUAUAGAUUAAAUUAUU
rnacentral:lncRNA from 1 species